rnacentral:rRNA from 1 species
UUCGCAAUGCCCGAAAGGGUGACGAAGCGACGCCGCGUGAGUGAGGAAGGCCUUCGGGUUGUAAAGCUCUGUCAGGAGUUAAGAAAUAUAAGUGUGCUAAUACCACAUUUAUUUGACAAAAGCUCCAAAGGAAGCCACGGCUAACUCUGUGCCAGCAGCCGCGGUAAUACAGAGGUGGCAAGCGUUGUUCGGAAUUAUUGGGCGUAAAGAGCACGUAGGUGGGUUUGUAAGUCAGAUGUGAAAGCCUUCUGUUCAACGGAAGAAUUGCAUCUGAAACUGCGAGUCUUGAGUGUAGGAGGGGAGAAUGGAACUUCUGGUGGAGCGGUGAAAUGCGUAGAUAUCAGAAGGAACGCCGGCGGCGAAAGCGAUUCUCUGGCCUAUUACUGACACUCAGUGUGCGAAAGCUAGGGGAGCAAACGGGAUUAGAUACCCCGGUAGUCCUAGCCGUAAACGAUGGGCACUAAGUAGAGGGGAUUACCGAUGUUCUCUCUGCCGUAGCUAACGCAUUAAGUGCCCCGCCUGGGGAGUACGGCCGCAAGGCUAAAACUCAAAAGAAUUGACGGGGGUUCGCACAAGCGGUGGAGCAUGUGGUUUAAUUCGAUGCAACGCGGAGAACCUUACCGGGGCUUGACAUGGUAGAAGUAGGAACCUGAAAGGGUAACGAACGGUAUCCAGUCCGUAGCUAUCACAGGUGUUGCAUGGCUGUCGUCAGCUCGUGUCGUGAGACGUUGGGUUAAGUCCCCUAACGAGCGAAACCCUUGUUUUUAGUUACCAGCGGGUCAUGCCGGGUACUCUAGAAAGACUGCCGUCGUCAAGACGGAGGAAGGUGGGGAUGACGUCAAGUCAUCAUGGCCCUUAUGCCCCGGGCUACACACGUGCUACAAUGGUCGGUACAAACGGAAGCGAAGCCGAGAGGUGAAGCGAAUCCUAAAAAGCCGAUCUCAGUUCGGAUUGGAGGCUGAAAUUCGCCUCCAUGAAGUUGGAAUCGCUAGUAAUCGCGGAUCAGCUCGCCGCGGUGAAUAUGUUCCCGAGCCUUGUACACACCGCCCGU